rnacentral:rRNA from 1 species
CGCGUAGGCGGACAGUUUAGUCAGAGGUGAAAGCCCAGGGCUCAACCUUGGAAUUGCCUUUGAUACUGGCUGUCUUGAGUUCGGGAGAGGUGAGUGGAAUGCCGAGUGUAGAGGUGAAAUUCGUAGAUAUUCGGCGGAACACCAGUGGCGAAGGCGACUCACUGGCCCGAUACUGACGCUGAGGCGCGAAAGCGUGGGGAGCAAACAGGAUUAGAUACCCUGGUAGUCCACGCCGUAAACGAUGAGUGCUAGUUGUCGGCAUGCAUGCAUGUCGGUGACGCAGCUAACGCAUUAAGCACUCCGCCUGGGGAGUACGGUCGCAAGAUUAAA